AACAGAUUUACUUCGGUAAUGACGUUAGGAAAGCGAGCGGCGGAUGGGUGAGUAACACGUGGGGAACCUGCCCCAUAGUCUGGGAUACCACUUGGAAACAGGUGCUAAUACCGGAUAAGAAAGCAGAUCGCAUGAUCAGCUUUUAAAAGGCGGCGUAAGCUGUCGCUAUGGGAUGGCCCCGCGGUGCAUUAGCUAGUUGGUAAGGUAAAGGCUUACCAAGGCGAUGAUGCAUAGCCGAGUUGAGAGACUGAUCGGCCACAUUGGGACUGAAACACGGCCCAAACUCCUACGGGAGGCAGCAGUAGGGAAUCUUCCACAAUGGACGCAAGUCUGAUGGAGCAACGCCGCGUGAGUGAAGAAGGUUUUCGGAUCGUAAAGCUCUGUUGUUGGUGAA
rnacentral:rRNA from 1 species